rnacentral:misc_RNA from 1 species
GGAUUGAGCUGAGAUAUUUAAAGUAAUUACUUUGAGGUAGUACCACUUCAUCCAAACUAACUCCUUCCCUAUUACCAGUUCGGCCUUCACUGAACUUACAAUGCAUGUCUUCUGUCUUCGUUCUACUUAAUUUAAAGCCCUUUGACUCUAGAGUACUUCUUCAAAGCUCUAAUUUUCUAUUAACUCAUUUUUGCAUCUCAUCUAUCAGAACUAUAUCAUUCGCAAACAUCAUGCACCAACAAAUACUCUCUUGUAUAUGUUUCGUUAAUUCAUCUAAAACUGAUGUAAAAAGGUAAGAGCUUACAG